ensembl:lncRNA
UGUGUGUGUGUGUGUAAGGGAGAGAGGGAGUGUGUCUGCGUGUGUAAGACAGAGAGGAAAAAGAGGGAGUGAGAACGGCAAGAAGGAGAGAAGAUGUUGGUGUGUGCGACACAGGGACUUCUAAAGAACCAGCAGGUUGUGUGUAGCUUCGGUGAUUCUGCUGUGCCUGGACAGUAAGCUCUGGGCAUAGCAACAGCAAAGUGAUGCACAGAAAAGGUGCCAUGUGUGAUUGGCCAGCAUACCCUGUGGCAGUGGCAUCGCCCUGGAUUUGGCGAGAAGCUCUCCCCCCUGCUUGUUCUCUGGGGCUCCUUUGGGAAGCUUUCAUGGGAUUUAUCUUGUCCUGCUGGAUGGCACGGAGCUCUCUGCCUCUCUGAAAAGAGUCCACAGAGAAAACAUACAUUACACGGAUAAGAAGUAAAAUAAUUAUCCAAUCACAGCACAAGCAGGCAGACCGGGUUCCCUUAGCAACAACUGAAGGAGACGAGAGAAUCCUUUUCUCUUUCUGCUCCUUUGGUUUUUGGGCACACCCCUGUGGACAGCUGUGGGUCAGUCUUUUGAGAAAGGACUUCAAAAACAUUUUUACAUAAGACAAGCUAUCACCGAAAUUCCAGAGGAAGGUGCUCAUUUGCCUUCAAGUCAGCUUGUUACUGUGUCUCAUUGGCACAAUGAGUUUUUUGUUAUGCCUCCACAAAUUCGCAUCGCAAGUCACACUGCACUGGCUUAGAAAUCACUUCAUUUUGAUCCCACGCCACCUGG